rnacentral:rRNA from 1 species
AGUGAACGCUGGCGGUAGGCCUAACACAUGCAAGUCGAACGGCAGCACAGGAGAGCUUGCUCUCUGGGUGGCGAGUGGCGGACGGGUGAGGAAUACAUCGGAAUCUACUCUGUCGUGGGGGAUAACGUAGGGAAACUUACGCUAAUACCGCAUACGACCUACGGGUGAAAGCAGGGGACCUUCGGGCCUUGCGCGAUUGAAUGAGCCGAUGUCGGAUUAGCUAGUGGGCGGGGUAAAGGCCCACCAAGGCGACGAUCCGUAGCUGGUCUGAGAGGAUGAUCAGCCACACUGAAACUGAGACACGGUCCAGACUCCUACGGGAGGCAGCAGUGGGGAAUAUUGGACAAUGGGCGCAAGCCUGAUCCAGCCAUACCGCGUGGGUGAAGAAGGCCUUCGGGUUGUAAAGCCCUUUUGUUGGGAAAGAAAUCCGGCUGGCUAAUACCCGGUUGGGAUGACGGUACCCAAAGAAUAAGCACCGGCUAACUUCGUGCCAGCCGCCGCGGUAA